rnacentral:rRNA from 1 species
CUCCAGACUCCUACGGGAGGCAGCAGUGGGGAAUAUUGCACAAUGGGGGAAACCCUGAUGCAGCGACGCCGCGUGAGUGAAGAAGCGCCUCGGCGCGUAAAGCUCUGUCAGCAGGAACGAUAAUGACGGUACCUGAAGAAGAAGCCCCGGCUAACUACGUGCCAGCAGCCGCGGUAAUACGUAGGGGGCAAGCGUUAUCCGGAUUUACUGGGUGUAAAGGGAGCGUAGACGGCGGGCAAGUCUGGAGUGAAAGGCCGGGGCCCAACCCCGGGACCGCUCUGGAAACUGCCCGGCUGGAGUGCGGGAGAGGUAAGCGGAAUUCCUAGUGUAGCGGUGAAAUGCGUAGAUAUCAGGAGGAACACCGGCGGCGAAGGCGGCCUGCUGGACCGUGACUGACGUUGAGGCUCGAGAGCGUGGGGAGCAAACAGGAUUAGAUACCCCAGUAC